UGGAGAGCCAAGUUGGUGCGUGAUUAUUUCAGUAAUCCCUGGUCUGCAAUUUCUCUGGCAGCAGCAAUCUUCGUCCUGCUGCUAACCAUAUUGCAGUCAGUCUUUGCAAUCUUAGCUUAUGUCCGUCCACGAUAAAGUCCAAGUUUACGAGGUCACAAAUUGAAGAGUAUUGUGUGUUGAAGUGGUGUCAGUGGAGGGGAUGAUUACUUCAGUAAUUCACUGUAGUG
rnacentral:misc_RNA from 1 species